rnacentral:rRNA from 1 species
GACGAACGCUGGCGGCGUGCUUAACACAUGCAAGUCGAACGGAAAGGCCCUGCUUUUGUGGGGUGCUCGAGUGGCGAACGGGUGAGUAGCACGUGAGUAACCUGCCCUUGACUUUGGGAUAACUUCAGGAAACUGGGGCUAAUACCGGAUAGGAGCUCCUGCUGCAUGGUGGGGGUUGGAAAGUUUCGGCGGUUGGGGAUGGACUCGCGGCUUAUCAGCUUGUUGGUGGGGUAGUGGCUUACCAAGGCUUUGACGGGUAGCCGGCCUGAGAGGGUGACCGGCCACAUUGGGACUGAGAUACGGCCCAGACUCCUACGGGAGGCAGCAGUGGGGAAUAUUGCACAAUGGGCGGAAGCCUGAUGCAGCAACGCCGCGUGCGGGAUGACGGCCUUCGGGUUGUAAACCGCUUUCGCCUGUGACGAAGCGUGAGUGACGGUAAUGGGUAAAGAAGCACCGGCUAACUACGUGCCAGCAGCCGCGGUGAUACGUAGGGUGCGAGCGUUGUCCGGAUUUAUUGGGCGUAAAGGGCUCGUAGGUGGUUGAUCGCGUCGGAAGUGUAAUCUUGGGGCUUAACCCUGAGCGUGCUUUCGAUACGGGUUGACUUGAGGAAGGUAGGGGAGAAUGGAAUUCCUGGUGGAGCGGUGGAAUGCGCAGAUAUCAGGAGGAACACCAGUGGCGAAGGCGGUUCUCUGGGCCUUUCCUGACGCUGAGGAGCGAAAGCGUGGGGAGCGAACAGGCUUAGAUACCCUGGUAGUCCACGCUGUAAACGGUGGGUACUAGGUGUGGGGUCCAUUCCACGGGUUCCGUGCCGUAGCUAACGCUUUAAGUACCCCGCCUGGGGAGUACGGCCGCAAGGCUAAAACUCAAAGGAAUUGACGGGGCCCCGCACAAGCGGCGGAGCAUGCGGAUUAAUUCGAUGCAACGCGUAGAACCUUACCUGGGUUUGACAUGGAUCGGGAGUGCUCAGAGAUGGGUGUGCCUCUUUUAGGGGUCGGUUCACAGGUGGUGCAUGCCUGUCGUCAGCUCGUGUCGUGAGAUGUUGGGUUAAGUCCUGCAACGAGCGCAACCCUUGUUCACUGUUGCCAGCACGUUAUGGUGGGGACUCAGUGGAGACCGCCGGGGUCAACUCGGAGGAAGGUGGGGAUGACGUCAAGUCCUCAUGCCCCUUAUGUCCAGGGCUUCACGCAUGCUACAAUGGCUGGUACAGAGAGUGGCGAGCCUGUGAGGGUGAGCGAAUCUCGGAAAGCCGGUCUCAGUUCGGAUUGGGGUCUGCAACUCGACCUCAUGAAGUCGGAGUCGCUAGUAAUCGCAGAUCAGCAACGCUGCGGUGAAAACGUUCCCGGG